rnacentral:rRNA from 1 species
UCGAGAAUCUUCGGCAAUGGGCGAAAGCCUGACCGAGCGAUGCCGCGUGCGGGAUGAAGGUCUUCGGAUUGUAAACCGCUGUCGGAGGGGAUGCAGAGCCUCGGAGGAAGCACGGGCUAAGUUCGUGCCAGCAGCCGCGGUAAUACGAACUGUGCAAACGUUAUUCGGAAUCACUGGGCUUACAGGGUGCGUAGGCGGCAUUUUAAGUCAGGUGUGAAAUCCCCCGGCUCAACCGGGGAACUGCGCCUGAGACUGGAUUGCUCGAGUGAGGCAGGGGUGUACGGAACUUCCGGUGGAGCGGUGAAAUGUGUAGAUAUCGGAAGGAACGCCAGCAGCGAAAGCGGUACACUGGGCCUUGUCUGACGCUGAGGCACGAAAGCCAGGGUAGCGAACGGGAUUAGAUACCCCAGUAGU